rnacentral:misc_RNA from 1 species
UAUGAAGAACGUAGCGAAAUGCGAUAAGUAAUGUGAAUUGCAGAAUUCAGUGAAUCAUCGAAUCUUUGAACGCACAUUGCGCCCGCCAGUAUUCUGGCGGGCAUGCCUGUUCGAGCGUCAUUACAACCCUCAGGCCCCCGGGCCUGGCGUUGGGGAUCGGCGGAAGCCCCCUGCGGGCACAACGCCGUCCCCCAAAUACAGUGGCGGUCCCGCCGCAGCUUCCAUUGCGUAGUAGCUAACACCUCGCAACUGGAGAGCGGCGCGGCCACGCCGUAAAACACCCAACUUCUGAAUGUUGACCUCGAAUCAGGUAGGAAUACCCGCUGAACUUAAGCAUAUCAAUAAGCGGAGGA